UUCCAAUUCCGGUGUUCGGGAUACCAAAAUUCCAAAGUUGAAAGGAUUAUAAUACUAAAAUUUCAAUUCCAAGCCCAGUCUUGGUGAUACCUUGGUUCCAAAAAGCUCUGACCUGCUGCCCUAGUUCUCCAGUUCGUUGGGGGUUCAUUUUCAGUGCUUGCUUCGGUUUGGGUCUUCCCGACCGCUGUGCUUGAUUGAACUUGUUGAUUUCGAUGUCCACUAAUAGUGUAUUGAUGAGCGAACUCUCAAUUACUCCCACGAGGUUGUAGAUUCGUGCUGCUACAUAUGCAUCCUUUGCUUAGAACUUAGGAUGGUAAACUUCGUGUUUUGACUGGGUAGCUUAUCACCUGAGUGUCCAUGCGUCUUGAAUUCAUAAGUCAAUGCUGGUAAUUUAAAAGUGUGUAUGAUAAUACUUCAUGUUCUAGGAAUAGGAAAUCUUUGUGCCCUACGUGUUUACAAUGUGAUGCAUGCAGUAGCCAGUGGAGCUGAUUAUCGUCUCAGACUAUGGACUAGAACACUCUGUGCAUGAGUUGCUGGAGCAUUCUCCACAUUGAAGAACUGGUUUCCACCAUAUUAAAAAUGGGGAGAUGAGAGAUCUGACAGCAGUAUGUCCGAGCUGGCAAAGGCUGUUUUGGAAAAGAAGCAAGUUCCAGAUAUUAUAGUAAACAAUGCUGGUACAAUAAACAAGAAUAACAAGACAUGGAAUGUUCCAGUGGAAGAUUUUGAUAUGGUGGUUGAUACAAAUAUCAAGGGGACAGCAAAUGUGCUUCGUCAUUUUGUACCACUUAUGAUAGCAGGAGACAUGGGAUUAUAAUUAAUUUAACCUCUGGUUGGGGAAGAUCCGCUGCUGCAGAGGUCAUACAGAAAGCCACCAAAUGCAUUAUAGUUGAUCCUUUCUGUUGAAUCAAAAUCCUUAGUGCAUACUAAAUUGCACGUUUUCAGGUUGCUCCAUAUUGUGCUUCAAAGUGGGCGAUUGAGGGCUUGACACGCUCCUUGGCUAAAGAGCUGCCUCCUGGAAUUGCAGCCAUUGCUCUUAGCCCUGGUGUCGUGAAUACUGACAUGGUUACUUCAUGCUUUGGAAGUUGAGCAGCGUUAUAUCAAACAACUGAAACAUGGGCACCGAAGGCAGCUACAAUGAUACUAAGCCUUUCACUGGACGAUAACGGUGCCUCCUUGACUGUAUGAAGUGGUGAAAUUUUGUGCUCAACUGAUUACUGAUGGGGGUCUCUAUAUUUUUGCGAGAUUAUGGUGAUGUAAAAUAGUAGUUAUAAUGUGUGUGCACUCUGAUGUCCCUAGCUGCUGCCUGAACGUUAUUGUUUAGCCUUACCUCUAUGGCCUAUGCACAUGCUCUUCUUUCAUUUGAUGUUCAGAUGGGGGAGUAAUGUGGCGAGAAAGGUGCCGGGCGGAGAGAUAGAAGCACGCGUUGCUUUGUUUUUGUGGUGUCUCCACGCAUGGUGGCACGUUCUGAUUGCGGCCUUGAAGCCCAGCCCGGGUACGCGCGCGUCUGAUACAGCAAUCAAUUGGGCGGACGGGCAUGAUGCCUGUUGCGUCGCUCUGCUGUUCCCGUGAGCACUUGAAUACUUGAUCUAUUGGCUCCAAGUAUAUAUAAUUCUGCAUCGCAAGAGGCAGGCCCGCAGGGAGAAUUAUUUUUUAAUUUCUGCUGUUCCAGGAAGGUGAAUAAGGCCACUCUCGCGUCUCCAAUGGUCUAGAUUGGAGUUAGUUGAAUUAAUUUUUUUUAAUUGAUGAUGAACACUCUAAACUGUAAGAGGAUUGGUAUGGAGCCAAGAGAUAGUCACGUACGUUUUGACGAUGCAUCCUCAGUAUGAAAUGAUGUUCUCAAUAGG